UUUGCUUUCUGUUCGCAUUUCUUGAACAAAUAUCACCUUUAGCUGCCUCCGGUUCUCAAAUCCUAACCUCCUUGUACAUUCCAUCCACCCUUUACUUGCCAGCAACAAUGAGCAAUACUUAAAUCGAUGUUUCGGCCCAAAACGAACAGUAUGGCAGUGCAUUCAUUUUUCCAACAGCCAUUAUCUCUAUUGCUUAUCUUUCGGAGCUUAAGCUUGAACCUCUAUCUCAACUCUCAUGUCGUCAAAUGCAAGCCAAGUCACGCCAACGCAUGUCCAAAGCGGAUUAUGGUCUGGCAUCCAUUUGCGGAAAUUACGGAUCAUGGCUUCCAGGGCUUCAUCGUUGAGAGAAAGGUGGUAUGAGUUAACGCGGUAAACCUAUGUCGGUAUGAGCUCCUUAACAUAAUAAAUACCCACCAGCUUGUAGACGGGGUGAAGAAAUCAUAUGUUAUGACAUCUCCUUUGCUUUUUGG
rnacentral:sRNA from 1 species